rnacentral:rRNA from 1 species
AUUGAACGCUGGCGGCAUGCUUUACACAUGCAAGUCGAACGGUAACAGGUUAAGCUGACGAGUGGCGAACGGGUGAGUAAUGCAUCGGAACGUGCCCGGUCGUGGGGGAUAACACUUCGAAAGAAGUGCUAAUACCGCAUACGAUCUGAGGAUGAAAGCGGGGGACCGUAAGGCCUCGCGCGAUCGGACAGGCCGAUGUCAGAUUAGGUAGUUGGUGGGGUAAAGGCCUACCAAGCCUACGAUCUGUAGCUGGUCUGAGAGGACGACCAGCCACACUGGGACUGAGACACGGCCCAGACUCCUACGGGAGGCAGCAGUGGGGAAUUUUGGACAAUGGGCGCAAGCCUGAUCCAGCAAUGCCGCGUGCAGGAAGAAGGCCUUCGGGUUGUAAACUGCUUUUGUACGGAGCGAAAAGGCUCUCUCUAAUACAGGGGGCUGAUGACGGUACCGUAAGAAUAAGCACCGGCUAACUACGUGCCAGCCGCCGCGGUAA